rnacentral:rRNA from 1 species
UACGGAGGGUGCAAGCGUUAUCCGGAUUCACUGGGUUUAAAGGGUGCGUAGGUGGGUUGGUAAGUCCUGUGUGAAAUCCCCCAGCUCAACUGGGGAACUGCACAGGAAACUAGCGGGCUUGAGUUCGGGAGAGGGAAGCGGAAUUCCGGGUGUAGCGGUGAAAUGCGUAGAUAUCAGGAGGAACACCUGUGGUGUAGACAGCUUACUGGACCACUUCUGACGCUGAGACACGAAAGCGUGGGUAGCAAACAGG